AAUCAACGCUGGCGGCGUGCCUAACACAUGCAAGUCGAACGCGAAAGCCCUUUCGGGGGUAAGUAGAGUGGCGUCCGGGUGAGUAACACGUAGGUAAUCUACCUUCGGGUGGGGAAUAACUCGCCGAAAGGCGAGCUAAUACCGCAUAAUGCAGCGGCACCUAAUGGUGAUUAGUUGUUAAAGCGGGGGAUCGUAAGACCUCGCGCCUGAAGAGGAGCCUGCGGCAGAUUAGCUAGNGGUGAGGUAAUGGCUCACCAAGGCUUCGAUCUGUAGCUGGUCUGAGAGGACGGCCAGCCACACUGGCACUGACACACGGGCCAGACUCCUACGGGAGGCAGCAGUGGGGAAUUUUGGGCAAUGGGCGCAAGCCUGACCCCAGCAACGCCGCGUGAGGGAGGAAAAUCCUUCGGGAUGUAAACCUCACAAGCAAGGGAAGAGAGCUCAGGACCAAAUAAGUCCUGAGUCGAC
rnacentral:rRNA from 1 species